CAGCUGGUCCGGUCUGGAUCACCCAGGGUUGGAAAGAAAAUCAGCCGAAAACAUAGACACACUCCCAAUUAGCUAACUCAAGUUGAUCUUUUCAGGAAGCUACCAUAUGUGGAAAUGUCCGGAGCAGUUAAAGUGAGCGCUGUUGUUGCUGCAACCGCUACAGGUGCUGUGAAAGUUGUAAGCAUAUCUGUACCAGCAGCAGCAAUUCCGUGGGUGUGCGCCACUGUCAUUGUGCUUGGGGCCUCCUGUAUCAUUUUCCAAGGACUCAAGCGUCUAAACCAGUGA
rnacentral:lncRNA from 1 species